AAUUGACCGUGACACUAUAGCUAUAUUUUGAGUCGCAAUGACCAUAAGAGGGUUUACGGACGACCUAAAUGCCACAAUAUGCAUAAAAAAUGAGGAAAUAUAAAAAAAAAAAAAGAAGAUGUGGUAUCAUUGCCAAUGAAACAAACAUCCACAAAAGACCAAAAUGACACAGACAUCAACAACUAUAGCUCACCGUACAGCCUACAACAAUGAGCAAAGCCCAUACCGCAUAGUCAGCUAUAAAAGGCCCCAAUAAGACAAUGUAAAACAAUUUAAACAAGACAACUAAAAGCCUUAUUUAUUUUAUAAAAUGAACGAAAAACAAAUAUGUAACACAUAAACAAACGACAACCACUAAAUUACAGACUCCUGACUUGGGACAGACACAUACAUAAAUAAUGUGACGGGGUUAAACAUGUUAGCCAAUUUUGAAUAAUGAAAUGGAUAUUUUGAAUAAUGGAAUGGACUGCUGCGACCCUUUA
rnacentral:lncRNA from 1 species